GCAUCGAUGAAGAACGCAGCGAAAUGCGAUACUUGGUGUGAAUUGCAGAAUCCCGUGAACCAUCGAGUCUUUGAACGCAAGUUGCGCCCGUUAAGGGCACGUCUGCCUGGGUGUCACG
rnacentral:rRNA from 1 species